rnacentral:lncRNA from 1 species
UGGUUGGUGCUAUAAUACAAGUGUCGUAGCAUAGUUCAAAUGUGAAAUAACCAAGUUGUUUGUCCAAUUCGGAGUGAAUGAGACACAGGCUACUCCGGACGAAAAAGUGUCCUUCAAUAUGAUUGGUCGGAAUUUGUUAUUCAGGAUUCCAGAUCAGUAUUUGCUUAAACCACUAAAAGUUCAUUCAUAACUAGGCUACUAAGUUGAUGAUACUCUUGGAAAUAUUGAUCAGUGGCAGACAAAGAAGUAAGAACAGU